GAUGAACGCUGGCGGCGUGCCUAAUACAUGCAAGUCGAGCGAACGGACGAGAAGCUUGCUUCUCUGAUGUUAGCGGCGGACGGGUGAGUAACACGUGGAUAACCUACCUAUAAGACUGGGAUAACUUCGGGAAACCGGAGCUAAUACCGGAUAAUAUUUUGAACCGCAUGGUUCAAAAGUGAAAGACGGUCUUGCUGUCACUUAUAGAUGGAUCCGCGCUGCAUUAGCUAGUUGGUAAGGUAACGGCUUACCAAGGCAACGAUGCAUAGCCGACCUGAGAGGGUGAUCGGCCACACUGGAACUGAGACACGGUCCAGACUCCUACGGGAGGCAGCAGUAGGGAAUCUUCCGCAAUGGGCGAAAGCCUGACGGAGCAACGCCGCGUGAGUGAUGAAGGUCUUCGGAUCGUAAAACUCUGUUAUUAGGGAAGAACAUAUGUGUAAGUAACUGUGCACAUCUUGACGGUACCUAAUCAGAAAGCCACGGCCAACUACGUGCCAGCAGCCGCGGUAAUACGUAGGUGGCAAGCGUUAUCCGGAAUUAUUGGGCGUAAAGCGCGCGUANGCGGUUUUUUAGUCUGAUGUGAAAGCCCACGGCUCAACCGUGGAGGGUCAUUGGAAACUGGAAAACUUGAGUGCAGAAGAGGAAAGUGGAAUUCCAUGUGUAGCGGUGAAAUGCGCAGAGAUAUGGAGGAACACCAGUGGCGAAGGCGACUUUCUGGUCUGUAACUGACGCUGAUGUGCGAAAGCGUGGGGAUCAAACAGGAUUAGAUACCCUGGUAGUCCACGCCGUAAACGAUGAGUGCUAAGUGUUAGGGGGUUUCCGCCCCUUAGUGCUGCAGCUAACGCAUUAAGCACUCCGCCUGGGGAGUACGACCGCAAGGUUGAAACUCAAAGGAAUUGACGGGGACCCGCACAAGCGGUGGAGCAUGUGGUUUAAUUCGAAGCAACGCGAAGAACCUUACCAAAUCUUGACAUCCUUUGACAACUCUAGAGAUAGAGCCUUCCCCUUCGGGGGACAAAGUGACAGGUGGUGCAUGGUUGUCGUCAGCUCGUGUCGUGAGAUGUUGGGUUAAGUCCCGCAACGAGCGCAACCCUUAAGCUUAGUUGCCAUCAUUAAGUUGGGCACUCUAAGUUGACUGCCGGUGACAAACCGGAGGAAGGUGGGGAUGACGUCAAAUCAUCAUGCCCCUUAUGAUUUGGGCUACACACGUGCUACAAUGGACAAUACAAAGGGCAGCGAAACCGCGAGGUCAAGCAAAUCCCAUAAAGUUGUUCUCAGUUCGGAUUGUAGUCUGCAACUCGACUACAUGAAGCUGGAAUCGCUAGUAAUCGUAGAUCAGCAUGCUACGGUGAAUACGUUCCCGGGUCU
rnacentral:rRNA from 1 species